rnacentral:rRNA from 1 species
UACGUAGGGGGCGAGCGUUGUCCGGAUUUAUUGGGCGUAAAGAGCUCGUAGGCGGUUCGGUAAGUCGGAUGUGAAAUCUCCACGCUCAACGUGGAGGGGCCAUUCGAUACUGCCGUGACUCGAGUCCGGUAGGGGAGUGUGGAAUUCCCGGUGUAGCGGUGAAAUGCGCAGAGAUCGGGAGGAACACCCGUAGCGAAGGCGGCACUCCGGGCCGGUACUGACGCUGAGGAGCGAAAGCGUGGGGAGCGAACAGG